GACUGAGUUCGACACGACACGAUAUCCUGCAGAGAUAUUGUGCGACCUGCAGUGUCAGUCGAACCCAGCC
rfam:Clohesyomyces aquaticus strain CBS 115471 BCR34scaffold_10, whole genome shotgun sequence.